rnacentral:rRNA from 1 species
GAUGAACGCUAGCUACAGGCUUAACACAUGCAAGUCGAGGGGCAGCAUGUCGGUUGCUUGCAACCGAUGAUGGCGACCGGCGCACGGGUGAGUAACGCGUAUCCAACCUACCCUUGUCCAUCGGAUAACCCGUCGAAAGGCGGCCUAACACGAUAUGCGGUUCACCGCAGGCAUCUAAGGUGAACGAAAUGUGAAGGAGAAGGAUGGGGAUGCGUCUGAUUAGCUUGUUGGCGGGGUAACGGCCCACCAAGGCGACGAUCAGUAGGGGUUCUGAGAGGAAGGUCCCCCACAUUGGAACUGAGACACGGUCCAAACUCCUACGGGAGGCAGCAGUGAGGAAUAUUGGUCAAUGGACGGGAGUCUGAACCAGCCAAGUAGCGUGCAGGAUGACGGCCCUAUGGGUUGUAAACUGCUUUUAUAGGGGGAUAAAGUGUGCCACGUGUGGCAUAUUGCAGGUACCCUAUGAAUAAGGACGGCUAAUUCCGUGCCAGCAGCCGACGG